rnacentral:rRNA from 1 species
GACGAACGCUGGCGGCGUGCCUAAUACAUGCAAGUCGAGCGGACAGAUGGGAGCUUGCUCCCGGAAGUCAGCGGCGGACGGGUGAGUAACACGUGGGCAACCUGCCUGUAAGACUGGGAUAACUUCGGGAAACCGGAGCUAAUACCGGAUACGUUCUUUUCUCGCAUGAGAGAAGAUGGAAAGAUGGUUUCGGCUAUCACUUACAGAUGGGCCCGCGGCGCAUUAGCUAGUUGGUGUGGUAAUGGCUCACCAAGGCGACGAUGCGUAGCCGACCUGAGAGGGUGAUCGGCCACACUGGGACUGAGACACGGCCCAGACUCCUACGGGAGGCAGCAGUAGGGAAUCUUCCGUAAUGGACGAAAGUCUGACGGAGCAACGCCGCGUGAACGAUGAAGGCCUUCGGGUCGUAAAGUUCUGUUGUUAGGGAAGAACAAGUACCAGAGUAACUGCUGGUACCUUGACGGUACCUAACCAGAAAGCCACGGCUAACUACGUGCCAGCCGCCGCGGUAACAC